GUGCCAGCAGCUGCGGUAAUACGUAGGGCGCGAGCGUUGUCCGGAAUCAUUGGGCGUAAAGCGCGUGUAGGCGGCUGAGUAAGUCUGCUGUGAAAGUCCAGGGCUCAACCCUGGGAUGCCGCAGAUACUGCUUGGCUAGAGUACGGGAGGGGGCGAGUGGAAUUCCUGGUGUAGCGGUGGAAUGCGCAGAUAUCAGGAGGAACACCUAUGGCGAAGGCAGCUCGCUGGAACGUUACUGACGCUGAGACGCGAAAGCGUGGGGAGCAAACAGGAUUAGAUACCCUGGUAGUCCACGCCGUAAACGAUGGAUACUAGGUGUGGGGGUGUCGAACUCCCUCCGUGCCGAAGCUAACGCAUUAAGUAUCCCGCUGGGGAGUACGGCGCAAGGCUAAAACUCAAAGGAAUUGACGGGGCCCGCACAAGCAGCGGAGCAUGUGGUUAAUCGACGCAAC
rnacentral:rRNA from 1 species